CGCAUCACUAAAUUUUUAAGUCCGAUUUUGAACUCUAUUGGGCAUUUACUGAACACACAUUAAAAGUUCAACGAGCUGAACUUCGACCAAUCAACAAAUUGGAUUUGUUAGUGAUGCUUGGAUAGCAUACUUUUCAAAACACGGAAGAGCCAACUGUUGUAAACAUGAUCACUGAGGAGAUAGUAAAGACUAUAGUUUUUGUCCGUCUAUGACCAUCCAUUUGGUCAGUUAUUUGACGUGUUAAAAACAUAAAAGCUGUUUUCUGCGGCUGGCUGUUUUCUGCUGUGAACAUCCUCUGGCAUUUCCGACCCGCAAGUUUUUUCAGCAGCUCUGAGUCCUGCGCUCAGAUGAAUUGGAGGAAGCGCUGCUCACAGACUUUUUCCUCCCUCAGAGACACACUUCCCCUCUUCCCCUCAGCAACGCUCUUCAGAAACUGGAGAGCGCGUGAGGGAGCAACAUGGAGGGCCUGUCUCUGGUUCUAGAUUUGGUUCUGCUGCUUGGACCAUCUUAUCUGUACACAUCUUCCAUUCCCAGAUCACAUCUCUCUACUAAUACACCGGUGGAACUCUCCAGCAGCAAUGAUAUCUCAACCAGUUCUUCUUACAAAACCGGCCCUGCUGAACCUUUAACGGGCACAGAAGAACACCACAGAACCAUCCAACAGAUCAUCAAUUCCAGUGCUCACAGCUCAGCAGCUAAAGAAGCCAAAGAGUAUGCAAACACCAACAAACCUCCUGAUUUACACAUCAAAGUUUCUUUCUCAGAUACUCCGCUUUCAGGUGUAAACAGCAAUCAAACUAAUUUAUCAAAUCCCCCUGAGCUCAUGGCCAGUCAAUCACCUGUGUCAGAAGGAAGAGGCAUGGAACUCCAGAGUGCAUCAAGUUCAGUACAGACGGAAGUGUUUAGCAGGCCCUUUUUGAUCAAAAACCAGACUGAGCUUAGAGUAAGUAGAUUCACCAGCGCCAGCUAUUCUACAGCGGAUCCACAUGUGAUAGGUGACAAACCAGUCUCCACAGAGCUGAACCAAGUUUCAUCUACAACUAAAUCACAGUCAGAACACAACAGCAAAUCUUCGGCUGCCAUGGAGAGCUCAACUCCACCCUUCACUGUACCCGCAGCAACAUACCUGAUAUCUGCUUCCAUCACACAAUCGCAUUCUAGCCCUACAGAGAGUCGUGGUCAAGUAUCCCAAAAUUCCCUAUCAGCCACAGGCUCCACCCACAAUACAAAUAAAUUUGUGAGCAUGAAAACAGGUGUAACGAGACCUUUGGACAUAAAUGAAAUGACAGCUGCGACAACACUGUUGCCUAAACCUGCAAUCAAUCCUGCAAGCACACCUGUGACAAUAUCUUUGACUGAACCCUCAAGCACACCUGUGAUAACACCUGCAACCAAGCCUGCAAGCACUCCUGUGACAAUAUAUUUGGUCGAACCCUCAAGCACACCUGUGACAACAUCUUUGACUGAACCCCCAAGCACAGCUGUGACAACAUCUUUGACUGAACCCUCAAGCACACCUGUGACAACACCUGCAAACAAUCCUGCAAGCACUCCUGUGACAAUAUCUUUGACUGAACCCCCAAGCACACCUGUGACAACACCUGCAACCAAUCCUGUCAGCACAACUGUGACAAUAUCUUUGGCUGAACCCUCAAGCACACCUGUGACAAUAUCUUUGACUGAACCCUCAAGUACACCUGUGACAACACCUGCAACCAAUCCUGUAAGCACGCCAGUGACAAUAUCCUUGAUUGAACCCUCAAGCACACCUGUGACUACACCUGCAACCAAUCCUGUCAGCACAUCUGUGACAAAAUCUGUGACGAAACCUGCAACAACACCUGUGACGAAAACUGUAACUAAAACUGUGAUCACACCUGGAACCAGACAUCUCAAGACACCUGUUACCCCACCUUCAACUAGACCUAAGACCAUACCUGACACAACACCUGUAGACACUACUUUAACCACAUCUGUGACCACAUCUGCGUCUAUGAACUCAAGUAUAAUCAUUUAUAAAAGCACACCUGAGACAAAACCUGUCACUACUCCUAUAGACUUACUUGAGUCCACACCUACACCUACCAAUCUGGUCACGGAUUUGGUAAAACCUGAGACCAACUCUGCAACAAAAUCUGUGAGCACAGCCAAGACCCUACCUGGGAUCACAUCCCUGAAAACAUUUGCAACCAAAUCAGUGGCUACAUCUGUAACAACAACAGGGGAGACAUCUGUAACCAAAACUGUAACAGUACCUGGGAAAACACUGGAAACUGAACCUGUGACAAUACCUGUGACUUCACCUGUAACCAAACCUGUGACAAUACCCGUUACUCCACCUGUAACCAAACCGGUGACUUCACCUAUGUACGAUCUAAGAAACACUCCUAUGACCAAACCAGCAACAAAAGAUGUGACCACACCUGUGACAAACGUUAACAAACUAACAACCACACCCAAUACCACUCCAUUAACUAAACCUGUCACCAAACUGGUGUCUAGAACUGUGUCAAAACAUUUAGCCACACCUGUGACCAUUCUGACCACACGUGCAGCAUUUGCAACAACCAUCUCACCUAAAACAACUCCUGCAAUCACAUAUGGAGAUGUUCAACAGGGUGCAGAAACACCUACACCCAAUUCACCAUUUAGUACCUCUGUAUCCACGAGUAAGACUGCUACUUUUACACCCUCAACCCCAUCUUUGGCCAUUACCCCCGCUACAACCAGAAAAUCCACCACAGGAACCGCCCAAGUCAGGACUACCAUCAGCACAAUCCUCCAGCCUCCGUUGAGUACAAGUACAGUUUCAUCCUCUGUGCAGGUUAGUUUUGUUUUUUCUAAGAGUCGAUUUACUUAAUAUAAAAAGUUUAACUAUCUCAUGAUCCAUGCAGAGAGUUCCACAGAGGAGAGUUAUCUAGCAUUUUCUGAGGCAUUUGAGUUUUAUGACAUUUUUGGAAAUUCUCUGGAGUGGGCUACUCUAAAGUUCACUGGAGAUAUGUUCUCUUGAAGAAGAUUUUCUGACUUUUUCUAAUUUCUUAAAAGUUCUCUAAAGUUUUCAGCAGCUGUAUCGUGUUCUCUGAGUUUUUGUUAACUUCUCAGGUGGCCUUUAUUUUGACUUUUUGGCGAGUACUAUGGACUUCUUUGAGG
rnacentral:lncRNA from 1 species